rnacentral:lncRNA from 1 species
GUUUGAAAUGCAAAGACAGUUGAAAACAAUAGACACCUUGCUAGCUUUAGACUCUAAUGGAAAGAGAUUUAAAAUGGAAUAUGUAGGCAAAUUGCUAGGCACAGUGCUAACAUGUAAGUAGACUCUAAUGCUCUCUGCAAUGAUGCUGAUUGAUGGUGAUGCUGCAGCCUCUCUUGGCACCUGGAAACAUAGACACACACACAUCUUUUCACCCUGCUCCCAGCCUCUGGAUGAUGCCCUCCAAGAUCUCUUCUAACUGCAAGGAACCCGUGAUGCUGUGAUGAUGAAACCUCAGCUGACACCUCAGGCUCCAGAAAGCAGGCUGAGUGGAUGUCUGUACCUUGUGGGAAUGUGGCCAGAUUUUUCAUGUUCAGGCCUGGAGAGUGUGGCUCCCGGACCUCCUAAGGGAGGGCUGAUUCCCCAGGGGGCAUCCAGAAGUAGGGGACCCACUAGGAAAUGUAGCAAG